CCUACGGGAGGCAGCAGUGGGGAAUAUUGCACAAUGGGGGAAACCCUGAUGCAGCGACGCCGCGUGAGUGAAGAAGUAUUUCGGUAUGUAAAGCUCUAUCAGCAGGGAAGAAAAUGACGGUACCUGACUAAGAAGCCACGGCUAACUACGUGCCAGCAGCCGCGGUAAUACGUAGGGGGCAAGCGUUAUCCGGAUUUACUGGGUUUAAAGGGAGCGUAGACGGCAGAGCAAGUCUGGUGUGAAAUGCCGGGGCUUAACCCCGGGACUGCUUUGGAAACUGGGCAGCUAGAGUGCAGGAGAGGUAAGUGGAAUUCCUGGUGUAGCGGUGAAAUGCGUAGAUAUUAGGAGGAACACCAGUGGCGAAGGCGGCUUACUGGACUGUAACUGACGUUGAGGCUCGAAAGCGUGGGGAGCAAACAGGAUUAGAUACCCGGGUAGUC
rnacentral:rRNA from 1 species